CAAAUCUUUAUCGCUCAGUCAAGAUAAUGAAUUGAAUCAUUGACGCAGUGCUAUUCAGACCAACCCUAAAUAGACCUGAGAUACGGUUCAAUACUGUCUACUACAACAGUAGAGAGUCUGCCUGCAGCCUGUCCAGUUGGGAAGGUCUUCUCUCCAUGUUCCUGCUCAGAGAGACAAUGUGUAUCUUCAGGUAGACUAGUGGUUAGAGUGGAGGGACGGCAGGUAGACUAGUGGUUAGAGUGGAGGGACGAUGUGUAUCUUCAGGUAGACUAGUGGUUAGAGUGGAGGGGCGGCAGGUAGACUAGUGGUUAGAGUGGAGGGACGAUGUGUAUCUUCAGGUAGACUAGUGGUUAGAGUGGAGGGGCGGCAGGUAGACUAGUGGUUAGAGUGGAGGGACGAUGUGUAUCUUCAGGUAGACUAGUGGUUAGAGUGGAGGGGCGGCAGGUAGCCUAGUGGUUAGAGUGUAGGGACGGAAGGUAGACUAGUGGUUAGAGUGUAGGGGUGGCAGGUAGCCUAGUGGUUAGAGUGUAGGGACGGCAGGUAGACUAGUGGUUAGAGUGGAGGGGCGGCAGGUAGCCUAGUGGUUAGAGCGUUGGACUUGUAACUGAAAGGUUGCAAGAUCUAAUUCCCUGAGUUGACAAGGUAAAAAACUGUCGUUCUGCCCCUACCACUGUUCCCCGGUAGGCCAUAAUGGAAAAUAAGAAUGUGUUCUUAACUGACCUGCCUAGUUAAAAUAAAGGUAAAUAAAUUGGCUUGCUGUGCCUGGCCUUCAAUCAGUCUUUCUUUAUUGGUCUGAUUUCAGUUUUUCACGAGUAUUAAAGAUGUAGGUUAUUUUGGAAAACCUUUAAUGUGUAGAAGGUAUAGAAU